UUAAGCGCCUAUCCCUUGAUCCCCUGGUCAACGUUGACUCAACUUUGGGCCUCAGUGCCUUGGGCUUUUAUUUCUACUUGUUGGACCCCCUAAUUCCAUUUUGCACCCCCUAUUUUUUUAUUUUUUUUAUUUUCAAUGGUUUUUAUUUCUGAUUUUUAUUUUCUUUUUUAUAUUAAAUUUUGACUUUAUUUGAAAUCAAUUUUAAUUUUUCAAAAUAGUAUUUGAUAUUAUUUUUGAAAGUUUAUUUGAUUUUGUUUUAUAUUUUAAUUGAUUUUAAUUUUGCAAUUUAAUUUCAUGUUAUUUUUGCAAGUUAAUUUUGAUUUUCACGAAAAUGGGCCAGAAAAAGGGGUGGAGAAAUCAUAUGAGACACGACCUGGUCCACAAACAAAACAGAAAAAUAAAAAAUGAAAUAAAAUGGACAUGUCACGCUAAAAGGUAAGGAAGGAAGUGUGGCAUGCGUGUGAAAAAGUCAUGUUGUAAACAAAU
rnacentral:lncRNA from 1 species